ensembl:lncRNA
GAAAUCAUAGUUGGGUCCAUCAACCCAUGAACAGUGUUUGCUACAGCUUCCUAAGGGAUUGUGUGAGAAAUAUUUCCUGACAUCCCACAGAUGUUAGCGAGAAGCAGGAGAUCACAUUCCAUCAUAUCUCCGAAGAGGACAAGUAUUUAAGUUUUAUUUGGGGACAGUGGCUUGCUGAGUAACUAAGAUGCCUCCUGGGUUGAAACUUGUGAUCUUCUGCCUCAGCUUUCCAGGGUGCUAGGAUUAUGUGUGUAUACCACCAUGCUUGGCUGUAUUAUAUUCUUAGCUCUUUUUAGAUAUUGGUGUCUGGACUCCUAUCCUGUGAUUGGAGAAUUUAGCCCAUUACAGAGUGACUACUGAUUCUGCUGAUCAACAGUAACAUGAAAGCCCCCCAUCAGUCACUUAGUCCCAGACCACAAAGAAGAGGAAAAUGCUACGUGAUGAAGAAAACACACAAGGAGAGCUCCACAGAUGAUGAAGGGUUUGGAGCCACACAACUACAAGCCAGUUGUAUGAGGAUUUGAUGGUUACCAUGAGAAGCUAGGAAGAGAAUAUUUUUUGACACUACCAAGCAACAUCAGAGCUGGAGAAUGUGCAGCUGAAGAUUGAAUUUGCUCUCAAAAUAUCUUCCUUGUAAUAGUAAAAUAAAACACUGAUGCUGAGGUCAGAAGAGCAAAGUGAAAUAAAAUGAUGGCUGAGCACCACAGAGGGAGAUCGCUGUGAGUGGCUCAUUACCACACGGCUGCUUCUGAAAGUUGGCUCACUGAUUUAAUGAUCAUGCUAUACAUUGAGCUGCUGAAUGUUCACUGCAGUUAAAAAGAGAUUUGUCCUCAUCAAAGAAGUGGGGGGAAGCAAUUGCAACAUCCAGUUUAUAAGCCAAAUUUUGAGUUAUUAAAUUCAAAAUGAUUCAUUAUCUAUGCUUUUAUGUGUUUGUCCUGAUCUUUCCUUAAAAUGUAAGCCAUAUGCAUUCUUAGAACUC